AAAAAAAAAAAAUCACACAUUACUUUGGCUUUGGCUACGGGAAAGGUUUGGUGCCCAGAAUCAGCACAUGGUCUCUGCUCACCUCCCAUUCUUCAAUGUGGGAAGGUGUAAUCAGGGUCCUGAGAUAA
ensembl:snoRNA